rnacentral:sRNA from 1 species
GUGUCGCUCUUUUCUGCGGGACAGAGACAGAAGCGACACCAUAUAUAGCCCUGAUUCACUCCAAAUAAAGUGCCUUAGGAGUGGGCUCCGAGGCUGAACCUCUGUGCUUGGGUUCCCCCACGAUCCCCAGCUCUUGUCCCUGAAACAGCCUUCUUGGAAUUCCUUCUCUGUCAGUCUCGUGCAACCUGGAACGCAUGCCACCCGUCAGAGUCUUUGCACGCCUGUGCCAAGAGAGCCAACCCAGAUAAAGACAGGUGGCCCCAGGCCUUGGCCCCCAAAGGUACAAGCAAAUGGAGAAGCUUCUUUGCUACCUCGGAAAGACCAUAGCUUCAUCUUCAGCUCCCGAGAAACCCUUUGAUAUGGAUGCAGGGCCUGGCCUGCAGCCUUAUUGCUUAUGAAGAAGAUGCUGAAAGAUUUAUGGUCCGGAGGCACGUGGGACUUAGCAAGAAGAAGGCCAACAGAAUAGCAAGAAAGCACAUGUGCCUGGGGAUGGAACAGCCUAAGGAAGAGGUAAUUACAGCCGCCUCCAUGUUAACAGAGACAUGAUCGGGGCUCCGAUCACACCUGCUGGUCCAUGGUCCUCUUGGGAUGCCUGGGAGAGGGGACUAAAGAAAC